rnacentral:rRNA from 1 species
AUACGUAGGUGACAAGCGUUAUCCGGAUUUACUGGGCGUAAAGGGCGUGUAGGCGGUCUUGCAAGUCAGAAGUGAAAUUCCUGAGCUCAACUCGGGCGCUGCUUCUGAAACUGCAGGACUUGAGUGCUGGAGGGGAUAGCGGAAUUCCUAGUGGAGCGGUAAAAUGCGCAGAUAUUAGGAAGAACACCGGUGGCGAAGGCGGCUAUCUGGACAGUAACUGACGCUGAGGCGCGAAAGCGUGGGGAGCAAACAGGAUUAGAUUCCCUGGUAGGCCACGCUGUAAACGAUGAAUACUAGGUGUGGGGGGACUGGCCCCCUUCGUGCCGCAGUUAACACAAUAAGUAUUCCACCUGGGGAGUACGAUCGCAAGAUUGAAACUCAAAGGAAUUGACGGGG